rnacentral:rRNA from 1 species
UGCAGUCGAACGAAGUAGCAAUACUUAGUGGCAGACGGGUGAGUAACAUGUAGGCAUCUGCCCUUUGGCCUGGAAUAACACGAGGAAACUUAUGCUAAUACCGGAUAAGUCUUUACGGAGAAAGCUUUAUGCACCAUUGGAUGAGCCUGCACUUGAUUAGUUUGUUGGUGGGGUAAUGGCCUACCAAGACUGUGAUCAAUAGCUGAUUUGAGAGGAUGAUCAGCCACAUUGGGACUGAGACACGGCCCAAACUCCUACGGGAGGCAGCAGUGGGGAAUCUUGCACAAUGGAGGAAACUCUGAUGCAGCGAUGCCGCGUGAGUGAAGAAGGCCCUUGGGUUGUAAAGCUCUUUCGUCGGGGAAGAAAAUGACUGUACCCGAAUAAGAAGGUCCGGCUAACUUCGUGCCAGCAGCCGCGGUAAUACGAAGGGACCUAGCGUAGUUCGGAAUUACUGGGCUUAAAGAGUUCGUAGGUGGUUGAAAAAGUUAGUGGUGAAAUCCCAGAGCUUAACUCUGGAACUGCCAUUAAAACUUUUCAGCUAGAGUAUGAUAGAGGAAAGCAGAAUUUCUAGUGUAGAGGUGAAAUUCGUAGAUAUUAGAAAGAAUACCAAUUGCGAAGGCAGCUUUCUGGAUCAUUACUGACACUGAGGAACGAAAGCAUGGGUAGCGAAGAGGAUUAGAUACCCUCGUAGUCCAUGCCGUAAACGAUGUGUGUUAGACGUUGGAAAUUUAUUUUCAGUGUCGCAGGGAAACCGAUAAACACACCGCCUGGGGAGUACGACCGCAAGGUUAAAACCCAAAUGAAUUGACGGGGACCCGCACAAGUAGUGGAGCAUGUGGUUUAAUUCGAAGAUGCGCGCAGAACCUUACAACACUUGACAUGUUCGUCGCGACUCUA